AGCUAGUUGGUGGGGUAAAAGCUCACCAAGGCGACGAUCUGUAGCGGGUCUGAGAGGAUGAUCCGCCACACUGGAACUGAGACACGGUCCAGACUCCUACGGGAGGCAGCAGUGGGGAAUUUUGGACAAUGGGGGCAACCCUGAUCCAGCCAUGCCGCGUGAGUGAAGAAGGCCUUCGGGUUGUAAAGCUCCUUCGGCCGGGAAGAAAUCGUAUCAGCUAAUACCUGGUGCGGAUGACGGUACCGGCAUAAGAAGCACCGGCUAACUACGUGCCAGCAGCCGCGGUAAUACGUAGGGUGCGAGCGUUAAUCGGAAUUACUGGGCGUAAAGCGUGCGCAGGCGGUUUUGUAAGACAGGCGUGAAAUCCCCGGGCUCAACCUGGGAACUGCGUUUGUGACUGCAAGGCUAGAGUACGGCAGAGGGGGGUGGAAUUCCACGUGUAGCAGUGAAAUGCGUAGAGAUGUGGAGGAACACCAAUGGCGAAGGCAGCCCCCUGGGUCGAUACUGACGCUCAUGCACGAAAGCGUGGGUAGCAAACAGGAUUAGAUACCCUGGUAGUCCACGCCCUAAACGAUGUCAACUAGGUGUUGGGAGGGUAAAACCUUUUAGUACCGGAGCUAACGCGUGAAGUUGACCGCCUGGGGAGUACGGCCGCAAGGUUAAAACUCAAAGGAAUUGACGGGGACCCGCACAAGCGGUGGAUGAUGUGGAUUAAUUCGAUGCAACGCGAAAAACCUUACCUACCCUUGACAUGUCAGGAACUUUCCAGAGAUGGAUUGGUGCUCGAAAGAGAACCAGAACACAGGUGCUGCAUGGCUGUCGUCAGCUCGUGUCGUGAGAUGUUGGGUUAAGUCCCGCAACGAGCGCAACCCUUGUCGUUAAUUGCCAUCAUUAAGUUGGGCACUUUAGCGAGACUGCCGGUGACAAACCGGAGGAAGGUGGGGAUGACGUCAAGUCCUCAUGGCCCUUAUGGGUAGGGCUUCACACGUCAUACAAUGGUCGGUACAAAGGGUCGCCAACCCGCGAGGGGGAGCUAAUCCCAGAAAGCCGAUCGUAGUCCGGAUUGCAGGCUGCAACUCGCCUGCAUGAAGUCGGAAUCGCUAGUAAUCGUGGAUCAGCAUGUCACGGUGAAUACGUUCCCGGGUCUUGUACACACCGCCCGUCACACCAUGGGAGCGGGUUCCGCCAGAAGUAGGUAGCCUAACCGCAAGGAGGGCGCUUACCACGGCGGGGUUCGUGACUGGGGUGAAGUCGGAACAAGGUAGCCGUAGGGGAACCUGCGGCUG
rnacentral:rRNA from 1 species